AUUGAACGCUGGCGGCAGGCUUAACACAUGCAAGUCGAGCGGGGUGAUGGUGCUUGCACUAUCACUUAGCGGCGGACGGGUGAGUAAUGCUUAGGAAUCUGCCUAUUAGUGGGGGACAACAUCUCGAAAGGGAUGCUAAUACCGCAUACGUCCUACGGGAGAAAGCAGGGGAUCACUUGUGACCUUGCGCUAAUAGAUGAGCCUAAGUCGGAUUAGCUAGUUGGUGGGGUAAAGGCCUACCAAGGCGACGAUCUGUAGCGGGUCUGAGAGGGUGAGCGGCCACACUGGGACUGAGACACGGCCCAGACUCCUACGGGAGGCAGCAGUGGGGAAUAUUGGACAAUGGGGGGAACCCUGAUCCAGCCAUGCCGCGUGUGUGAAGAAGGCCUUAUGGUUGUAAAGCACUUUAAGCGAGGAGGAGGCUCUUUUGGUUAAUACCCAGAAUGAGUGGACGUUACUCGCAGAAUAAGCACCGGCUAACUCUGUGCCAGCCGCCGCCGUAA
rnacentral:rRNA from 1 species